rnacentral:lncRNA from 1 species
UCAUCUAUAGCUGAUUAUCCUCUUUUUCUCCUACAAGAGUGCCGCUUCCUUUUGUGUUAGGAAUGAAUACAUGCUGUAAAUAUAUAUGUACAUACCCACACACAUAUAUUGAAUGAAUGGAGCCUUAAAGAGCUAGGAUGAGCCACCAGAAGUGUAGUAUUCCUGCUCACAAUGAAUGCUGCAGCAUUUGGCGGAGAAAUCAAAGUGUCCAAGCACAUUCAUCUGAGGAGGUCUGAGGAUGCACAUAGCGUUUGGCUUUUAACUUUUGGGUUUUUGUUUUGUUUUGUUUUUCAUUUUGAGUAGCUUCACUCAAGUCCAACCUUUCAUGUUUGUUGUAGGUAAAGCUCACUGGAAAGCUAGUUACACUAAAAACAGUUCUAUUUUCCUUGCAAGAGGCAUUUCUGUAGCCUAAUUUGAGUUUUAUUUUUCUUUUGAUUUUAUGAUUCUCAUGCUGUUUACGUGCAGUUUCCAAAAUGGAUUGUUGGUGCUUCAGAACGUCACAGCCCCCUGCUGUGGUUAUGCUCUCGGCACUUUGUUUCAGAUGUUUCCACACACUGUGCUCUUCGUACUCUUCCGUGCGGUGGUAGUGGUAAAGCUUUUGUUUUCUUCUGUGUGGAACACGCAUGACCCCAACGGAUUACGGCCUCAGUUGUGAAGGGUUCAGAGACAGCUCAUCUGGGACUGACAGGGACGCUCAGGGCAGGGAAGAACACUAGUCCCUGACCUGCGGGCACAGGGAGAGGGGCCAUGCUACCUUUCACAGUGCAGGCUCUGGACCACUAAAACUGAGAGCUAAACACUGUUGCAAGGGUUAAAUGAGUAGCCAGAGGGGAUUCCAGGAGCUGUCAGUCAAAGGUGCCUAGUAUAUCUCUUACUUGUUAGUGCUCUGAGUGUGACCAAGUGUCAGUGUAGUGGCCAGUGCUGCAAAAGUCACUCUGCUCACACGACCUGCCUGGUUAAGCAGCUAAUGAAACCAUAAAAUGAACCUGAGGGAAUUGUCAGCUC